AUUAAUCAUACUUUAUAAUGAAUAUGAUUUAAAAAACAUGUUGCUGUUCAUGAUUCGAGCUCUUUUUUUAUAAAAUUUUUUGUUAUAUUACCUUUUUAUCCUACCUGGUUUGGCAACAAGGCAGUUCGUUGUUUUGUAUACUAAUUACGAAUCACAAAACUCACGUUAAUCACGGAAUCUCUUAUGGCAAAAUAAUCUGGCAUGUAGAAACUUUAUUUGCGUCCUCAUCCUCACCUCCAUCAUACAAGGACAACAGACAAGUGACACAUCGUGGAAUUUUCUUUCACAAAAAUCCAUUUAAUCACUGGAUUUCUAUGAGCACCUAAUUCAAAAAUUAUAUAAAGGCUACCGACUACUGAGAACCCUUAUACUUUCAUCACAUGCGCAAGUUAAAUCCAGAAAAUAAAAAAUAGACUAUUCAUGAAUCUUUCACGGAGAUGCAAUUUCCAAGGCGAAGAAGGCUUUCUAAACUAGCUGAAGCGCCGAAUCCUAGACUGCAUUUUGAUAGAACACGAACAGGAGGGAAUUUGCAUUCGACCAGCCGCUCUGCGAAUUUAAUUAUUUAACGUUACCAAGUUUAAAGCGCUCACAAAGUUUGGAGUAAAAAGACAAGAAAAAAUCUAAAGUGUAUUGGCACGUCUGAUUGAUAAUCUUGCAUCCGUGAGAUGCCGCCUUCCCAUUCCACGACGAUGAACACGAAAUUCAUAGCUGUAUAAUUAAGAAAGUAAUGAAGUACGUCGACAUAAAAAACUGUUCCGCAUCAUCGUCCUGAUACCACAUGCAUUCAGAAAUCAUCAUCAUCAUCACGAUAGUCGAGUUCGGCAAGUAACAUCUCCUCACGAAGGCGCAAAAAAAUAUCAGUUGAUUGCAAAACUUCUUUUUCCCAGACGAGAUAUUUUUAUAGCUCUACUAUUGCAAUCAUUUCCGGUUUAAGUAAUGGUCGAAAUAUAAUGCAGUUUUCUAGAGAAUGGGAAAGUAUGGGCUAUGGAUUACGACGGUCGGAUCUAUGAAUAUUUUAAAGCAUAACAGUUUUAUUCUGAAAUUGUAAAAGUACGAAAUGCUAUGUGCCACGAUUUUCCGUGAAUCACGCGUUGCGUUUUCUAAAACAAUUAUUGGAAAAUACAAGUAAUUUUUAUG